rnacentral:lncRNA from 10 species
UCAGAAAAAGACAGACAAUCCAAUUAGAAAAACAGGCAAGAGCUUUGAACAGGCUCCUCACAAAAGAGGAUACAGAAAUGGCCAACAUGUAUAUAUACACACACAUUAUACAUGUUAGAGUCACAACAAAAAAUACAAUUUUUAAAAAUAACACACCCAUCAGAAUAGCUAAAAUUAAGGAAUCUGGCAAAAGAAGUGCUGGAAGGAGGUGGAGCAAUUGGGAAUUCCUACACAUUGCUAACAUAUUAACAACCAUUUUGGAAGAAAGUUUGGCAUUAUCUACUAAAGCUGAAGACACAUAUAUCCUGUGACCCUGCAAAUCCACUCCUGUAUAUUUCUCCAACAAAAAUACAUGUAUGAGUCCAUUAAAAUCAUAAUUCCCCAAAACACAACCCAAAUGUCCAUCAACAGUAGACUAAAUUGUGGUAUAAUGCAUACACUGAUAAACUAUACAGUUAUGAAAAUGAGCUACAACAAAAUAUGAAUAAGUCUUACACACAUAAGGUUGACUGAAAUGAAUCAGAGACAAAAUAAUACAUCUUAGAUGAUACCAUUUAUAUAAAGCUCAAAGUUAGGUAAAGCAAAACUACAGUGCUCAGGGAUACAUAUUUUGGUAGCAAACAAAAAAUAAAGUAAGUCAUUAAUGUAAAAAUCAGGUUACUGCUUACCUUUGGAGGAGAAAGAGGAUUGUGACUAGAAAGGGAAAGAGGAGAGCUUCUGGGGAUGCUGGCAAUGUCCUAUUUCUUGAGCUGGGGUGGUAUGUGGAUGUUCAUUUAUAAUAAUUCCUUAAACUGAAUAUGUUUCUGUGUUUUGUAUGUGUUUUGUUGUUAUGUAUGUGUUGUAUUUUGCAAUAAAAAAGAUAUUUAAGAGUUCCUUUUCAAAGUUAGCUAUUUAUGGAAAUAUACGAAUAGCCUUUGAAAAUUAUGUGACUUUAAACUGACAAAUUUCUGAGUUGAGUUUGGCAAGAAAGAAAGGAAAAGUGCUGUCUCAAAAAUAGAAAUCCAUGAUCUAGGGCAGGUGUUUGAGGUUUUAAGGCUUUCUUUUUUUGUUUUUUUUGAGACGGAGUCUUGCUCUGUCGCCCAGGCUGGAGUGCAGUGGCGCGAUCUAGGCUCACUGCAAGCUCUGCCUCUGGGGUUCACGCCAUUCUUCUGCCUCAGCCUCCUGAGUAGCUGGGACUACAGGCGCCUGCCACCAUGCCCGGCUAAUUUUUUUGUAUUUUUUAGUAGAGACAGGGUUUCACCACGUUAGCCAGGAUGGUCUCGACGUCCUGACCUCGUGAUCCGCCCACCUCGGCCUCCCAAAGUGCUGCGAUUACAGGCGUGAGCCGCCGUGCCCAGCCUUAAGGCUUUCUUUGUACAAAUCUUUUACAUUUCUUGUUAAGUGUGUUCUUUGGUAUUUGAUGUUGAUGUUUAAAGUGUGUGUGUGUACAAUAUACAAAUGGGCAUUUUUCUUCCAUCAUAUCAUCCAAGUGAUUGUUUGCAUAAGUAAAAUUUAUUAAUUGUACUCAGACACCUUAUUGAAUUCUCUUAUCAUCUUUAAGUUCCUUCAUUGAUUUUCUUGAGUUUUGCAUGUAUAUAAUCAUAAUGGAAA